rnacentral:misc_RNA from 1 species
UACAGAGGGUGCGAGCGUUAAUCGGAUUUACUGGGCGUAAAGGGUGCGUAGGCGGUCGACAAAGUCUGGGGUGAAAGGCUACGGCUCAACCGUAGUAAGCCUUGGAAACUUGUUGACUUGAGUGCAGGAGAGGUAAGUGGAAUUCCUAGUGUAGCGGUGAAAUGCGUAGAUAUUAGGAGGAACACCAGUGGCGAAGGCGACUUACUGGACUGUAACUGACGCUGAGGCACGAAAGCGUGGGGAGCAAACAGG